GGACAGUCUUCGGGUCCCCCUCCCCCGAGCUGCUGUUGUGCUCCAUGUCUGAAGAUGUUUCCUUUUUUCGUUCUUUGCUCUAGUUACGAGGAUCCUGACAAGUGCCUGCUUCUCUAUGGUGAUGAUCAGGGAUGUGUGAGCAUUCUGCUUUUGGCUUCUGUCGGUGAACUAUUAAGGCAUGAAACAGCAAUAAAAUGCCAUUAUUAUCUUUGGAGAGACAAGAUGGAAUCCAUUAAAUAAGAAGAUGCCAGUACGGAGGAAAAUCCAGAGGGGGAAAAAGAAUUCUUGGAAAUUAAAAUUGUGAUUUUAAAUAUUUAAC